ACUCCUACGGGAGGCAGCAGUGGAGGAAUAUUGGACAAUGGGCGCAAGCCUGAUCCAGCCAUGCCGCGUGCAGGAAGAACGGCCCUAUGGGUUGUAAAACUGCUUUUGUACGGGAAGAAACCUACCCUCGUGAGGGUAGCUGACGGUACCGUAAGAAUAAGCACCGGCUAAUUCCGUGCCAGCAGCCGCGGUAAUACGGAGGGGUGCAAGCGUUAUCCGGAAUCAUUGGGUUUAAAGGGUCCGUAGGCGGGUAAAUAAGUCAGUGGUGAAAUGCAGGGGCUCAACUCCGGCACUGCCAUUGAUACUGUUUAUCUUGAAUUAUUGUGAAGUGGUUAGAAUAUGUAGUGUAGCGGUGAAAUGCUUAGAUAUUACAUAGAAUACCGAUUGCGAAGGCAG
rnacentral:rRNA from 1 species